rnacentral:rRNA from 1 species
GGGGGGGGGGCCGUGCUUACCAUGGCAGUCUGACGGGAAUGCCGCGCUGAUGCGAUUUCGGUCAAAUCAUGUGCCAUUUAAGUGGCGGACGGGUGAGUAACGCGUGGGUAACCUCCCUUACACAGGGGGAUAACACCUGGAAACAGGUGCUAAUACCGCAUAAGCGCACAGGGCCGCAUGGCCCGGUGUGACAAAACUCCGGUGGUGUAAGAUGGACCCGCGUCUGAUUAGCUUGUUGGCGGGGUAGGGGCCCACCAAGGCGACGAUCAGUAGCCGGCCUGAGAGGGUGGACGGCCACAUUGGGACUGAGACACGGCCCAAACUCCUACGGGAGGCAGCAGUGGGGGAUAUUGGACAAUGGGGGAAACCCUGAUCCAGCGACGCCGCGUGAGUGAAGAAGUAUUUCGGUAUGUAAAGCUCUGUCAGCAGGGAAGAAAGAAAUGACGGUACCUGACCAAGAAGCCCCGGCUAACUACGUGCCAGCAGCCGCGGUAAUACGUAGGGGGCAAGCGUUAUCCGGAAUUACUGGGUGUAAAGGGAGCGUAGACGGUGAUGCAAGUCUGGAGUGAAAGGCGGGGGCCCAACCCCCGGACUGCUCUGGAAACUGUGUAACUUGAGUGCAGGAGAGGUAAGCGGAAUUCCUAGUGUAGCGGUGAAAUGCGUAUAUAUUAGGAGGAACACCAGUGGCGAAGGCGGCUUACUGGACUGUAACUGACGUUGAGGCUCGAAAGCGUGGGGAGCAAACAGGAUUAAAUACCCUGGUAGUCCACGCCGUAAACGAUGAUUACUACGUGUCGGUGGGUAUGGACCCACCGGUGCCGCCCCAAACGCAGUUAAUAAUCCUCCUGGGGAAGAACUUCGCAAGAAUUGAAACUCAAAAGAAAUUGACGGGGACCCGCA